UACGAAGGGGGCUAGCGUUGUUCGGAAUUACUGGGCGUAAAGCGCGUGUAGGCGGGUCUUUAAGUCAGGGGUGAAAUGCCAAGGCUCAACCCUGGAACUGCCUUUGAUACUGUCGAUCUGGAGUAUGGAAGAGGUGAGUGGAAUUCCGAGUGUAGAGGUGAAAUUCGUAGAUAUUCGGAGGAACACCAGUGGCGAAGGCGGCUCACUGGUCCAUUACUGACGCUGAGGUGCGAAAGCGUGGGGAGCAAACAGG
rnacentral:rRNA from 1 species